UCAUUUUGCUUUUCUUGUACCACUUAAUUUAUGUAUAUAAAGUCUACCCGUAAAGGAAAGAAGGUUUUCAUUGCUGGUGUAAAAAUGCGCGUUUGAAAUUCGUACAGGUAGACAUAAAAAUAAUUUUGUCGUUAAAAGUUUGAACAAAACAAACAUACUUGCAUCACUAUAAAAACAACAAAUGUAACGAAGAAGCACAAAAAGGCAUACAUCAAAUUUAAUAUACUCAUUUUGCUUUUCUUAUAC
rnacentral:lncRNA from 1 species